AUGGGUUCCUUGGUCCAGGCAGCGCUGACUCAGCCGGCCUCAGUGGACGUGUCCCUGGGAGGCACCGCCGAGAUCUCCUGCUCUGGUAGCAGCAGCAGCUAUGGCUGGUACCAGCAGAAACCUGGUGGUUCCCUGGUCCCUGUGAUCUAUCAGAACAACAAGAGACCCUCGGGCAUCCCUGAGCGAUUCUCCGGUUCCAAGUCUGGCUCCACGGCCACCUUAACCAUCACUGGGGUGCAAGCCGAGGACGAGGCCGUCUAUUACUGUGGUUCCCUGGUCCAGGCAGCAGUGACUCAGCCGGCCUCGGUGGACGUGUCCCCGGGAGGCACCGCCACGAUCUCCUGCUCUGGUGGUGGCAGCUACUAUGGCUGGUGGCAGCAGAAACCUGGUGGUUCCCUGGUCGCUCUGAUAUAUGACAACAACAAGAGACCCUCGGGCAUCCCUGAGCGAUUCUCUGCUUCCACCUCUGGCUCCACAAACACCUUAACCAUCACUGGGGUGCAAGCCGAGGAUGAGGCCGUAUGUUUCUGCAGCCCCUGA